CGUGGAGCGACGAAACAAUGUUCAAACUACACAUCGAGGCUUCUUCAAUUAAAUACAACAGAGGAAAAGAAUUUUUUUUUCAACGCUGUCUGCCAUCAAAAUAGAAAAUACUGGAUUGGAAAAUGUAAAGACGGGAAAGUGGCCUCUAAUGUCCUGUACAAGACACACUCUGGGAACCUCCAUUGCACUGAAUGUAAAUCGUCCAGUGGGCGAUCCCCUUGCAAUCGUAAUGAACACCAUUUCAUCUGCGAGACGGCUGCAUCUGUGUACCCGGAUAUUCCUGAGGAGAUCCAGGAUCUCUGUCGACAUCCAAUACGGGAGUUAUCAAUCAUGUGACAACCCCCGCUAUCUCCCCUGUCUCUCAACCCCACCGACAAUUCCCCAUCUGCCCCUCGGCCCUUCUUUACUCCCCUAUUCCUCUAUCGCACUCUCUCUCCAUAUCUCCUACCCUGUCUGACCCAAUGCGAUUUAAAGUGCCCCUCAGGCAAAAUGAGCCAGCAAUAACCCCCGAUUUAAUCCUGGCCUAAUCACGGGACAAAUCGCAAUGACCAAUUCGCCCACCGGCAGUCUUUCGCCCUCUCCUUUCCGGCUCCCUCCUACGUCUGUCUCCCCUAUCUGAUCAACUCGAUCUCCCUCCUCUCGCUUGCCUGUCAGCACAAUCCUGUGUCCUCAGAUUCUCGAUUCCACGACCCUAGGGACUGUGCGCAUCCACCCUAUCUGUGCACCCCGUCGUUUUUGCAGCUCUGCAUCGUCACUCCUACGCUCCAAGGAAAAAUGCCCCGACUUACCCCACCUCUGUUCAUGCCUGU